UUCGGAAGAUAGUGCGAACGGGUGAGUAAUACAUAGGUACCUGCCCCUGUGCGGGGGAUAACAGGAGGAAACUCCUGCUAAUACCGCAUAGACCGCAUGGACAAAUAUCCUUCGGGGAUAGCGCAGGGAUGGACCUAUGGCGCAUUAGCUAGUUGGCGGGGCAACGGCCCACCAAGGCAACGAUGCGUAGCCGGCCUGAGAGGGCGGACGGCCACAUUGGGACUGAGACACGGCCCAAACUCCUACGGGAGGCAGCAGUGGGGAAUCUUCCGCAAUGGACGAAAGUCUGACGGAGCAACGCCGCGUGAGUGAUGAAGGAUUUCGGUCUGUAAAGCUCUGUUGUUUAUGACGAAGUGCUGGUGAACAAUGCAUUGCAAUGACGGUAGUAAACGAGGAAGCCACGGCUAACUCGUGCCAGCAGCCGCGGUAAUACGUAGGUGGCGAGCGUUGUCCGGAAUUAUUGGGCGUAAAGAGCAUGUAGGCGGCUUAAUAAGUCGAGCGUGAAAAUGCGGGGCUCAACCCCGUAUGGCGCUGGAAACUGUUAGGCUUGAGUGCAGGAGAGGAAAGGGGAAUUCCCAGUGUAGCGGUGAAAUGCGUAGAUAUUGGGAGGAACACCAGUGGCGAAGCGCCUUUCUGGACUGUGUCUGACGCUGAGAUGCGAAAGCCAGGGUAGCGAACGGGAUUAGAUACCCCGGUAGUCCUGGCCGUAAACGAUGGGUACUAGGUGUAG
rnacentral:rRNA from 1 species